CGCGACCCGCCGCGUCCCGCUUCCCUUGCCUGAGAGCGGGCCCUGCGCUCCCGGCGCCCUCGCGGGAAGUGGACGACACCUGGGGGGGUUCUGGGCGCCCUGUUCUGGCGCGCGGGCCUGGCUGUUUUUAUUACAGUGGGUUCAGGCUAGAGCGUGGGGAACGUACCGUCAAAUUACCUGGGGCUGACACCGCCCCAACCCCUCCCCGGCCCGGGGGCCGCAGGCUGAGGGCAGAGCCGGCUCCGGACGCCGCGCCUGAGCAGGCCCCAGGCGGCGGGUCCCGGGCAUCUGCCCCUGAAGGUAAUCGUCACAAAUCAAAAUGAACUAAAAUUAAGGAACCAACAGUAAAUGAGGGCCUGUCAUGGGUGGUACCUCUUCUCUGCGUGGCUAACUCAAAAUGCUGUCCAGGUAUGAGUGUCUUUGGGAAGCUUUUCCCUGUCCCUCUGUGGCCUGGUGUGUUUGACCAGCAGAGUGCUUAUCUCCUAUAAUCUCCCCCACCACAGACUGGGAGCCCCGUAGGGCAGUGGCCAACCUCAUCUAGCUUCUGAGGAAAGGGUACCCAAGAAAUAGUUAGCUGCCCUGGAGGCAGCAAGGGAUUCUACGUGUACCGUGGUAAUGCCCUAAAAGGAUACACACAAAGAUUAUCACCAGUAGCUUGACUGGCAGAUUAGCACACAUCUCGGUGUUUCAUAGAAGGUUUGUUCCAUUCCCGGCCCUUCCAUCUUCAGAGUCCCUCCACUGCACACUCCUCCUGCUCGUGGACUCCCACCACCUUCCAGUUUUGUCUUCUCCAAGAAUGUCUCCGCCUUUCCCCCCGCCCCCAGGCCCUGUGAUUCAAUACUCUGCCACAUUUUCUAUUUCAGGCUAAUAGAGACCCUGAUGCUGGAGUUGCGGCUGAACAAGAUGCUCAGGUAAAUGAGACUUAAGAUGAGAUGGUUUUACUGUGACAUGUAAGUGACAAAUAUCCAUGUUAGUAAAAAACCAUCAGCAGUGUUGUAAGAGCAACUUAUUUAUGGGUCACUACCAAAUUAUAGGACUCCUGCAAGUAUAGUUUUCUCAUUUUGAGCUGGCAACAAAAUAUUUUAUCCCAAAUAGAAAUGAAAUGAAAUAAAUUGCAUAUGAACAAUGAGUCCCAUGUAGAUAUGUUACCCUUUUCCAGUUAUGGAACAUUCAUAGAACAGAAAUUCAAACAAGAACAACUUAGGUGUGGUGUCUUGGUUUUUUUGUUUGUUUGUUUGUUUUUUCCUAAAAGUAACAGGGGAGAGCUGUGCACAGUAGACGAAGAAAGAAGAUCUCAGUGAUAAAAGGUGUUUUCUUAUGUAACAGAGGUCAAGAUACAAAACUGGGAGAUUCCUCCACCUUUCCUUGCAUGGAACUCUAAGUAGGAGUCUUCUUUUGUCAGCUGCUUUGUAGUGACACCCGGAUAACACGUUGUACUACAUGGCUUUUAAAUUCCAGGCCUCUCUCAAAUGUUUGGCCUUGCUGAUUACUGGGAUGACACCACACCACGGGCCUUAAUGACUUGUGGGCUGGGUAGGCGACUGUGUGGUUGUCACAACCCUCCAGGGUGGGAGUUCAGGUCAGGGGCGAAGAUGUAGGCCGUCUCAGGUGACCAUGAGAGGCCUUGGCUAGCGGGCAGCAGGCCAGGUUCCCAGCAGGACCCGCAGUGUCCCGAGCACAGUGCCACAGGGCGAGGCUACUGGGGGUGGUCACCGGUGCGUUUUUACCUCACUCUUACUGGUUUCUCACCUCGGGGAGCCCGUGUACAGCAGUGAUCAGACUUUCUUGUGCCCGUGGACCUCCUGGGGUUCCCCUCAGAGUACAGGUUCUGACCCAGUGAGCUGCUCAGGAGUGAAGCCAGAACCCAUGUCCUGCAUGCCCAUAACUGAACACAAAAAGCCCCUCCGUUUUCCACGGCCAGCCCCUCCUGCACUAGGUCCUCUGACUGGGCCCCCUCUGCAGCGAGCCACCCACAGGGAGGUGUUCCUCACCUUCCCUUCACUUUGGGGCUCACCUUGCUAGCUCUCGGCCUAACGAUCCCCCCAGCCCCCAGGUCAAACCACAGGUGGCGCCUCCUGCCUGGGUCCUGAGCAGGUCAGGUGAGGCUGGAAGUAUUUCCCAGGGGCCGCCCCCCCCCCCCC